AGCCCGGUGGUGUAAUGGUAACACACCAGGUUUUGGUCCUGGCGUUUCAGGUUCGAGUCCUGGCCGGGUUG
rnacentral:tRNA from 1 species